AGUAUUUGGUCUCUUCUGGAGAAUCACCCAUGAUUGUAGCUGACUGUAUUCCAAGAUUCGUGAGCCUUGGCACCUGAAUCAGCCGAGCCAGGGUGGUGUGCCUGGACUUCACAGAUUGCCCUCAGAUGAACUCAGCUCCUGGCCUUCCUGUCUGGAGCCUGAGUGCACCUCCAGGUGAGGAAGUUUCUCACUGUGAGUCAGCUCACCUUGCCCUCCAGACCUGCCUAAAAACUCCAUAUUGGAUGUUGAGCCGUGAAUAAAUUCCUGUCUGCUGCCACGUGCUGAGUCACCGGGGACUCCUCACUGACUCCUGCCUGCCUUUUGGGCUGGGGGGCUUGCCCUAGGGCCGAGAGGAAGCAGCGGCCAGCGGGAUAACCACACCUUCAGGCAGAGGCACUUCUGAGAAGCCGUCCUCCAUCCUCGGGG